AACUGAUACUACCUGCGGGAACCUGCGGAGGGAUCAUUACCGAGUUUUCAACUCCCUAACCCUUCUGUGAACCUACCUAUCGUUGCUUCGGCGGACUCGCCCCAGCCCGGACGCGGACUGGACCAGCGGCCCGCCGGGGACCUCAAACUCUUGUAUUCCAGCAUCUUCUGAAUACGCCGCAAGGCAAAACAAAUGAAUCAAAACUUUCAACAAUGGAUCUCUAGAUCGGAAGAGCACACG
rnacentral:misc_RNA from 1 species